AGUGAACGCUGGCGGUAGGCCCAACACAUGCAAGUCGAACGGCAGCACAGUAAGAGCUUGCUCUUACGGGUGUCGAGUGGCGGACGGGUGAGGAAUACAUCGGAAUCUACUUUUUCGUGGGGGCUAACGUAGGGAAACUUACGCUAAUACCGCAUACGACCUACGGGUGAAAGCAGGGGAUCUUCGGACCUUUCGCGAUUGAAUGAGCCGAUGUCGGAUUAGCUAGUUGGCGGGGUAAAGGCCCACCAAGGCGACGAUCCGUAGCUGGUCUGAGAGGAUGAUCAGCCACACUGGAACUGAGAAACAGUCCAGACACCUACGGGAGGCAGCAGUGGGGAAUAUUGGACGAUGGGCGCAAGCCUGAUACAGCAAUACCGCGUGGGUGAAGAAGGCCUUCGGGUUGUAAAGCCAUGUUGUUGGGAAAGAAAAGAAGCAGGUUAAUACCCCGCUGUUCUGACGGUACCCAAAGAAUAAGCACCGGCUAACUUCGUG
rnacentral:rRNA from 1 species